rnacentral:rRNA from 1 species
GCCGCGGUAAUACGUAGGGUGCAAGCGUUAAUCGGAAUUACUGGGCGUAAAGCGUGCGCAGGCGGUUUUGUAAGACUGUCGUGAAAUCCCCGGGCUCAACCUGGGAAUGGCGAUGGUGACUGCAAGGCUAGAGUUUGGCAGAGGGGGGUAGAAUUCCACGUGUAGCAGUGAAAUGCGUAGAUAUGUGGAGGAACACCGAUGGCGAAGGCAGCCCCCUGGGUCAAAAC